rnacentral:rRNA from 1 species
AUUAUUUAAAAUGUAAAUUAUUAUACUUAAGUAGUAUUAGUUAUGUUCUUUAAAUUUAAAGAUUUUGGCGGUAUUUUAGUCUAUUCAGAGGAACCUGUUCUGUAAUUGAUAUUCCACGAUUAAUUAUACUUAAUUUAUAUAUUUGUAUAUCGUCGUUUUUAGAAAUUUUAUUAGAAUUUAAAUUUUUAAGAUUUUAUAUAAGAAAAUAAUUCAGAUCAAGGUGCAGUUAAUAAUUAUGAAGAAAUGGGUUACAAUAAAUUUAUUUAUGAUGGAAUUUUUUUAUGAAAAGUAGUUAUGAAGGAGGAUUUGAUAGUAAAAAUAUUUAAUUUAAUUUUUUGAUUUUAGCUCUAAAAUAUGU